UCGACGACUCUGGUAUUGAUUGGUGCUUGCAUCAUGAUUUACAUUUGAGUGAGUGGCGAACUGGUGAGUAACACGUGGGAAACCUGCCCAGAAGCGGGGGAUAACACCUGGAAACAGAUGCUAAUACCGCAUAACAACUUGGACCGCAUGGUCCGAGCUUGAAAGAUGGCUUCGGCUAUCACUUUUGGAUGGUCCCGCGGCGUAUUAGCUAGAUGGUGGGGUAACGGCUCACCAUGGCAAUGAUACGUAGCCGACCUGAGAGGGUAAUCGGCCACAUUGGGACUGAGACACGGCCCAAACUCCUACGGGAGGCAGCAGUAGGGAAUCUUCCACAAUGGACGAAAGUCUGAUGGAGCAACGCCGCGUGAGUGAAGAAGGGUUUCGGCUCGUAAAACUCUGUUGUUAAAGAAGAACAUAUCUGAGAGUAACUGUUCAGGUAUUGACGGUAUUUAACCAGAAAGCCACGGCUAACUACGUGCCAGCAGCCGCGGUAAUACGUAGGUGGCAAGCGUUGUCCGGAUUUAUUGGGCGUAAAGCGAGCGCAGGCGG
rnacentral:rRNA from 1 species